rnacentral:rRNA from 1 species
UACGAAGGGGGCUAGCGUUGCUCGGAAUCACUGGGCGUAAAGGGUGCGUAGGCGGGUCUUUAAGUCAGGGGUGAAAUCCUGGAGCUCAACUCCAGAACUGCCUUUGAUACUGAGGAUCUUGAGUUCGGGAGAGGUGAGUGGAACUGCGAGUGUAGAGGUGAAAUUUGUAGAUAUUCGCAAGAACACCAGUGGCGAAGGCGGCUCACUGGCCCGAUACUGACGCUGAGGCACGAAAGCGUGGGGAGCAAACAGG